GACGAACGCUGGCGGCGUGCUUAACACAUGCAAGUCGAACGAAGUGGCGAACGGGUGAGUAACGCGUAAUCAACCUGCCCUUCAGAGGGAGACAACAGUUGGAAACGACUGCUAAUACCGCAAACUGAAGGAGGAGUUUGCGUCUGAUUAGCUAGUUGGUGGGGUAACGGCCCACCAUGGCGAUGAUCAGUAGCCGGGCUGAGAGGAUGAGCGGCCACAGGGGGACUGAGACACGGCCCAGACUCCUACGGGAGGCAGCAGUGGGGAAUCUUCCGCAAUGGACGAAAGUCUGAAGGAGCAACGCCGCGGGAGGGAUGACGGCCUUCGGGUUGUAAAGCUAUGUUAAUCGGGACGCGGUACCGGCAUAGAAAGCCACGGCUAACUACGUGCCAGCAGCCGCGGUAAUAC
rnacentral:rRNA from 1 species